rnacentral:rRNA from 1 species
ACCAAGGGUUCCUGUCCAACGUUAAUCGGGGCAGGGUGAGUCGACCCCUAAGGCGAGGCCGAAAGGCGUAGUCGAUGGGAAACAGGUUAAUAUUCCUGUACUUGGUGUUACUGCGAAGGGGGGGACGGAGAAGGCUAUGUUGGCCGGGCGACGGUUGUCCCGGUUUAAGCGUGUAGGCUGGUUUUCCAGGCAAAUCCGGAAAAUCAAGGCUGAGGCGUGAUGACGAGGCACUACGGUGCUGAAGCAACAAAUGCCCUGCUUCCAGGAAAAGCCUCUAAGCAUCAGGUAACAUUAAAUCGUACCCCAAACCGACACAGGUGGUCAGGUAGAGAAUACCAAGGCGCUUGAGAGAACUCGGGUGAAGGAACUAGGCAAAAUGGUGCCGUAACUUCGGGAGAAGGCACGCUGAUAUGUAGGUGAAGUCCCUCGCGGAUGGAGCUGAAAUCAGUCGAAGAUACCAGCUGGCUGCAACUGUUUAUUAAAAACACAGCACUGUGCAAACACGAAAGUGGACGUAUACGGUGUGACGCCUGCCCGGUGCCGGAAGGUUAAUUGAUGGGGUUAGCGGUAACGCGAAGCUCUUGAUCGAAGCCCCGGUAAACGGCGGCCGUAACUAUAACGGUCCUAAGGUAGCGAAAUUCCUUGUCGGGUAAGUUCCGACCUGCACGAAUGGCGUAAUGAUGGCCAGGCUGUCUCCACCCGAGACUCAGUGAAAUUGAACUCGCUGUGAAGAUGCAGUGUACCCGCGGCAAGACGGAAAGACCCCGUGAACCUUUACUAUAGCUUGACACUGAACAUUGAGCCUUGAUGUGUAGGAUAGGUGGGAGGCUUUGAAGUGUGGACGCCAGUCUGCAUGGAGCCGACCUUGAAAUACCACCCUUUAAUGUUUGAUGUUCUAACGUUGACCCGUGAUCCGGGUUGCGGACAGUGUCUGGUGGGUAGUUUGACUGGGGCGGUCUCCUCCUAAAGAGUAACGGAGGAGCACGAAGGUUGGCUAAUCCUGGUCGGACAUCAGGAGGUUAGUGCAAUGGCAUAAGCCAGCUUGACUGCGAGCGUGACGGCGCGAGCAGGUGCGAAAGCAGGUCAUAGUGAUCCGGUGGUUCUGAAUGGAAGGGCCAUCGCUCAACGGAUAAAAGGUACUCCGGGGAUAACAGGCUGAUACCGCCCAAGAGUUCAUAUCGACGGCGGUGUUUGGCACCUCGAUGUCGGCUCAUCACAUCCUGGGGCUGAAGUAGGUCCCAAGGGUAUGGCUGUUCGCCAUUUAAAGUGGUACGCGAGCUGGGUUUAGAACGUCGUGAGACAGUUCGGUCCCUAUCUGCCGUGGGCGCUGGAGAACUGAGGGGGGCUGCUCCUAGUACGAGAGGACCGGAGUGGACGCAUCACUGGUGUUCGGGUUGUCAUGCCAAUGGCACUGCCCGGUAGCUAAAUGCGGAAGAGAUAAGUGCUGAAAGCAUCUAAGCACGAAACUUGCCCCGAGAUGAGUUCUCCCUGACUCCUUGAGAGUCCUGAAGGAACGUUGAAGACGACGACGUUGAUAGGCCGGGUGUGUAAGCGCAGCGAUGCGUUGAGCUAACCGGUACUAAUGAACCGUGAGGCUUAACCUU